AUCAAUAAUCUUGUUAUGUAAUAGAGCUGAUUUUGUCAUGGAACCCUUCACAGAUGAAGUGUUCUUCACAACAGUUUCGCUCAAAGCGAGAGCUUUUACAAUGAUGACGUGGAAGAAUCCGAGUGUAUUUUCGAAGCGCACUUUUCUCGUUUCGAGAGGUGAUCGCAGAAGAUGACAAUUAUGCAAAUGACGUGAGUGUUUUGAAGACAUUGAAUGAGGUCACAUAAUCUCCUGACCACUUGACUGGACAGCAACGAAGGAUGUUGUUUUGACACGUAGUCUUUUUCAAAAGCGCACAAUACAACAAGAAUGUAACAUGCUUGUUUUAAAGACAGGAGUAGAAAAGGCGCUAAAUAGAGAGUAUUAGAACUUAUCACAUGCUAAACCCUUCUUUACGACCCUUAAUCUUUCUCUCGCAAUGCCUUUCAAUAAUUACGUAAAUCUUGGAUCGAACUCAUCACGGACCUGAAACCUACGUAACGCAGGAACAAAAGAAAAACAUUCAGUGUUCGUGUGACUUGAAAUAUCGAUGAAACGUUCUCUUGUAUGAUACUUUACAGCAACCAAUCGCCUGCCGAGAAAAUCAUAUACAAUUCCGUCGUGAUGAGACAGUGAAGGCAUUGAUAAGCUCAUCUGGCCACAAGAUAUGGAAGCAAGUGUUUUGCAAUACAAAGGAAGGACUUGUUAAUCGAGCAAAUAAAAGAAGAAAGAAAAUCCUAAGAAAAAGUUUACAAUAAAUAUGCCACUGAAAAGAAACCCAGACAAGUAUUCCGUGCUUGUCACGUAACUGGAAGUUUCCUAAAACUGCUUCAAAACGGAUGAUUAAUUAAAAAGCCUUGAGGGCAAACUUAAAACGAGACUCGUGUGUAAAACGUGUUUGCGAGCAGAGAAACGUCCGAUUCGAAACAAAACACCCCAACAUCCUACAAGCUAAGUUGUCGGCAACAUCAAAGUGAAGCGAAUAUUCUGCUCGUGAAAUACCAUCACUGUUGUGCAACAGCCAGAUUACAAUCUCUACAUGGAGAACAAUGACUAAAUCUCUCAACACCGCGAAUAGAAUAUCAAUAACCUGGAAUAAGACCACCGAUACGGAGAGGGAUAUAAAGUUGAAGGUGUCAUUGCUCGAUCUAAGCGCAUAUUGUUAAUCGGAGCGUACACUUCAGUCGUGUGAUUUACACAAGCACGUUUUCAACCCGCGAAUACCUGCUUUAAGUUCAUUUCCUUAUCGUUACCCCUCAACAGCAGGUAAAUAUUUGUCAUCUCAGUUUCCAUCUGCGUGGCUGCUGAAACUUUGGCUGCCCUCAUCUGACCUUGUGGUAACUGUCUAUUUAUAGCUCUUUUGUCAAUAGUGACAGGUAUAAAGAGAGUUUGAAUUUCGUGUUCAACAACUCAGACCACCGUUGAGAACAUACACAUCAGCGUAACGCCCGGAGUAAACCAGAAGAAAUGACUCUGGUACUAAAUAAUAAUAUCGCCAUUACAACCACGACGCCGUCUUUAACGAGACCUAUUCCAAGUCCUGGGCCCUUCUCAUCAAUGAGUGGAAAUCAACCUCGCAGGUGCUCAGAAGACCGAAGCAUUUUUACUUAUUCCAACGCGUAUCCUAUCCCACACUGUGUUCACAAUAGUGGAAAAUUCGGGGUACAAGACAAAGACUUUAAUUCAUCAGAAUGCGACGUAGCUAUUCUCGACGACGAUGCGCUAACGUCUUUAAUCCUCGAGAUGGAAUUAGAGCAACUUAACGCUUUACCCGAACUUCAAGUAGUUAAUGCAGAUUUGACAGACUGUACUAUCAGGAGAUGAAGCGGGAAGCAGCAAGCUUCAGAAAGCUAUGGACAUACCGAAAUAUUGGCUGAAAAGAUAGCUAAAAGAGGAAAUUAAUUUAUUCUUAGUCGAGAUAAUUCUUUGCAGUUCAUGGAUGUAACGAACUACGAAACGAAAUGUGAGUUUCGUUCCCUGUCAAGCGAUAGGAAUUAUAACGACUUACCUCAACAUUGACAUUGUUGUAAAUAUAAUUUGUAAAAUAAUAAAUGUGAACAGAAUUUGCAUGGCA